rnacentral:rRNA from 1 species
GAUGAACGCUAGCGGCAGGCUUAACACAUGCAAGUCGAGGGGUAGAGGAAGCUUGCUUCCUUGAGACCGGCGCACGGGUGCGUAACGCGUAUGCAAUCUACCUUAUACAGGGGGAUAGCCCAGAGAAAUUUGGAUUAAUACCCCAUAGUAUAAUUGAAUGGCAUCAUUUGAUUAUUAAAGUUCCAACGGUAUAAGAUGAGCAUGCGUCCCAUUAGCUAGUUGGUGUGGUAACGGCACACCAAGGCGACGAUGGGUAGGGGUCCUGAGAGGGAGAUCCCCCACACUGGUACUGAGACACGGACCAGACUCCUACGGGAGGCAGCAGUGAGGAAUAUUGGUCAAAUGGGGCGCAAGCCUGAACCAGCCAUGCCGCGUGCAGGAUGACGGUCCUAUGGAUUGUAAACUGCUUUUGUACAGGAAGAAACACUCCCUCGUGAGGGAGCUUGACGGUACUGUAAGAAUAAGGAUCGGACUAACUCGUGCCAGCAGCCGC